GAUGAACGCUGGCGGCGUGCCUAAUACAUGCAAGUCGAGCGAACAGACGAGGAGCUUGCUCCUCUGACGUUAGCGGCGGACGGGUGAGUAACACGUGGAUAACCUACCUAUAAGACUGGGAUAACUUCGGGAAACCGGAGCUAAUACCGUAUAAUAUAUUGAACCGCAUGGUUCAUUAGUGAAAGACGGUUUUGCUGUCACUUAUAGAUGGAUCCGCGCCGCAUUAGCUAGUUGGUAAGGUAACGGCUUACCAAGGCAACGAUGCGUAGCCGACCUGAGAGGGUGAACGGCCACACGGGAACUGAGACACGGCCCAGACUCCUAAGGGAGGCAGCAGUAGGGAAUCCUCCGCAAUGGGCGAAAGCCUGACGGAGCAACGCCGCGUGAGUGAUGAAGGUCUUCGGAUCGUAAAACUCUGUUAUUAGGGAAGAACAAAUGUGUAAGUAACUAUGCACGUCUUGACGGUACCUAAUCAGAAAGCCACGGCUAACUACGUG
rnacentral:rRNA from 1 species